UCCGCUAGCUUCGACGAGCGCCUGUGAACUAAAAGCAACGCGCCGCGAAUCGAACGGCGUACCGCGUAAAAGGCGUACGCGUAAAAAGCUCUCAGUUCGCACCAGAGUACAUCCAGAGAGAACAAAUACGACCAACAUCGCAAAGCAAAACCGUCGAUCGUUCAUCACGAUCGUUCGCUGGAGGAGAACGAUCGAGUGGAUAUUGCGAGAGAAGAAAUGGUAACAAGUAAAUGAAAGCCUACAACUCUAAAAUCUGAUGUGAUUCGUUGAAAUGUCACGAUCGGGAAGGGCAGGAUUGCGGGGCUACUUUUACACUCGCUGGAUGCGGUUUAUUACCCGUCUCAAAUUACCCAAAGCCGUAAGGUCGAGAUGCAGUUAAGUUACCAUUUUGCCAGAUUGCACAUACGGAUAACUUCGACCGGAAUGCAUCACGUUUUAGUUUUCGUGACUUUGUUCUAGCGAACCUUGUAACUGUCGCCUUUACAGUGUGUUAUGAUGUUCCCCGUGCCAGAUGCUAUACAUAAUUUCAUAACUCAUCGGCUUAAUGUCUAAUAAAAGCGAAAGUGUGUGAACUAAUGCAA